rfam:Spinacia oleracea cultivar SynViroflay scaffold17550.con0001.1, whole genome shotgun sequence.
AUGAAAAGAGUCAGUCAAUAUAGCCAAGUACGACUGCCUAAUAACAAUGGGGAUGUACGACAUACACCCCCGUAUAUGUAGGACAAGGCAAGUCAUCCUUGGCUAAUAAACGAGCUAUGAUCUUUUAU